GAUGAACGCUGGCGGCGUGCCUAAUACAUGCAAGUCGAGCGAACAGACGAGGAGCUUGCUCCUCUGACGUUAGCGGCGGACGGGUGAGUAACACGUGGAUAACCUACCUAUAAGACUGGGAUAACUUCGGGAAACCGGAGCUAAUACCGGAUAAUAUAUUGAACCGCAUGGUUCAAUAGUGAAAGACGGUUUUGCUGUCACUUAUAGAUGGAUCCGCGCCGCAUUAGCUAGUUGGUAAGGUAACGGCUUACCAAGGCAACGAUGCGUAGCCGACCUGAGAGGGUGAUCGGCCACACUGGAACUGAGACACGGUCCAGACUCCUACGGGCGGCAGCAGUAGGGAAUCUUCCGCAAUGGGCGAAAGCCUGACGGAGCAACGCCGCGUGAGUGAUGAAGGUCUUCGGAUCGUAAAACUCUGUUAUUAGGGAAGAACAAAUGUGUAAGUAACUAUGCACGUCUUGACGGUACCUAACCAGAAAGCCACGGCUAACUACGUG
rnacentral:rRNA from 1 species